rnacentral:tRNA from 5 species
GCCGAGAUGGUAGAGUGGUCAAAUACUCGGGUCUGUAAAACCCGCGGCGCAAGCCUACGCAGGUUCGAACCCUGCUCUCGGCACUA